UCCUUUUACAAGUAUUCUUUCCUUCUAUUUAUAGGUUCUUCGCCCGGACUUUGUCUUGGGCUUUUCUCUUCAUGAGCUGAGGCCCAACAUUUAGUCCUCGCCUCGUUUAAGCUGAUAUUUAGAUGGGCCUAAGUUUUUGGACGAAACUGGAACUCGUUUUUUAUUUUAUUUGGUCUGAGUGUUCCCUCUUUUUAUCAAAUAGUUUUUUACCGUUGAGCUUUCAUGGGAAUCGGCACCUGUUUGGUAUUGCUUGUGGCGAUCAACCUUCUACAGCUUUGAAAUUCUCAAGCACUCCUCCAUUUCUUGAUAUGCUUCAUCAGAGAUGCCAGUUGCAAUUUUCUAGAACUGAGGAAGUUGUUCCGGUCGAAGCCUUCUUUCAAUCAUCAGAGUAGCAUCGGUGCUGAUUCUCCUGAGUUGGCUGACUUGGAAGAGUAUUGUGAGUUGGGUAAGGUUUAUACCCAUCAUCUUCCUUGCGGGGACGAUCGGCUUGUUGAACUAGUUUACGAUGGAGUUUGACCGAUUGGUGGUCUUGGGCGUGCGAGGCAACUUGGAGGCUGAGCUCGUUCGUGUUCGAGCCAAUGUGUUAGAGGCGCAGAAUCAUAAGGUCGAUGCUGAAAAGCGGAUUGUCUCGCUUGCCCAAAAAACCGUGAUGCUGACAAGGAAGCCUUGAAUUCCUUGGUGACUUCGUACCAGAAUAUCGAGUCUAAGCUUUUCGCAGAGAUGAAACAGAUGUGGAUUGAUUGAGGUUCCGUGGUUGUUGAGCUUGGGAGGAAUAAGAUCUAGUUGGAGAAAAAGCUUGUAGAUGCUUAAAGUGCGUUGUCGAAGAGCAACAAGAAGGCCUUUGGCGCGCUCGUGAACGGUGACAAUCUUUGUUGGGAACGCGCUGUUCGGGCUGGCUAUGACAUGGAGCCCCAUACUUUUGUCCAUCAUUUUGAAGAGGUGGCCCGUGCUCGCGAUGGAGGUGCAAAUCUGAUGGCCGGGAAGGAUCCGUUACUUGAUGGUUGAUGAUUGUUUGCUACUUUUCUCCAAGUAUUUGGGGUAUGCCCCGGAUGAAUGAUGUAAAAUUUUUACUUUCGGUCUCUGAACUUGGUAAUAGCUGUUGGUUCUUGACUUUUGUAUCGUGUCCAGAGGCACGCUUAUGUUGCUAUUCCCUGCAGGAAAAUUUGGUAAUGUAGUCUAACUGUGCCUGUGCACCUUUGUUUCUGAAGAACUGUGUUAUAA